rnacentral:ncRNA from 1 species
CCCACUCGUUAGGGGUGUCGCCAGCCGGUUUCGGUGUUUCGGUCGACUGAGAAAUACCCUUCGAACCUGACCGGGUCAUGCCGUCGUAGGGAAACGAACUCUGCCGUUG